UACGGGGGGGGCAAGCGUUGUUCGGAAUUACUGGGCGUAAAGGGCUCGUAGGCGGCCAACUAAGUCAUACGUGAAAUCCCCCGGCUUAACCGGGGAACUGCGUCUGAUACUGGAUGGCUUGAGUUCGGGAGAGGGAUGCGGAAUUCCAGGUGUAGCGGUGAAAUGCGCAGAUAUCAGGAGGAACACCAGCAGCGAAGGCGGCGCUCUGGGCUGGAACUGACGCUGAGGAGCGAAAGCGUGGGUAGCAAACAGG
rnacentral:rRNA from 1 species